rnacentral:rRNA from 1 species
UACGGAGGGUGCAAGCGUUAUCCGGAUUCACUGGGUUUAAAGGGUGCGUAGGUGGGCAGGUAAGUCAGUGGUGAAAUCUCCGGGCUUAACCCGGAAACUGCCGUUGAUACUAUCUGUCUUGAAUGUAGUGGAGGUGAGCGGAAUAUGUCAUGUAGCGGUGAAAUGCUAGAUAUGACAUAGAACAUCGAUUGCGAAGGCAGCUCGCUACACUAUUAUUGACACUGAGGCACGAAAGCGUGGGGAUCAAACAGG